UACGUAGGGUGCGAGCGUUGUUCGGAAUUACUGGGCGUAAAGCGCACGUAGGCGGCUUUGUAAGUUAGAGGUGAAAGCCCGGAGCUCAACUCCGGAAUUGCCUUUAAGACUGCAUCGCUUGAAUCCAGGAGAGGUGAGUGGAAUUCCGAGUGUAGAGGUGAAAUUCGUAGAUAUUCGGAAGAACACCAGUGGCGAAGGCGGCUCACUGGACUGGUAUUGACGCUGAGGUGCGAAAGCGUGGGGAGCAAACAGG
rnacentral:rRNA from 1 species